GAUGAACGCUGGCGGCGUGCUUAACACAUGCAAGUCGAACGAAGCAUUUAGGACAGAUUACUUCGGUUUGAAGUUCUUUAUGACUGAGUGGCGGACGGGUGAGUAACGCGUGGGUAACCUGCCUUGUACUGGGGGAUAGCAGCUGGAAACGGCUGGUAAUACCGCAUAAGCGCACAAUGUUGCAUGACAUGGUGUGAAAAACUCCGGUGGUAUAAGAUGGACCCGCGUCUGAUUAGCUAGUUGGUGAGAUAACAGCCCACCAAGGCGACGAUCAGUAGCCGACCUGAGAGGGUGACCGGCCACAUUGGGACUGGGACACGGCCCAGACUCCUACGGGAGGCAGCAGUGGGGAAUAUUGCGCAAUGGAGGAAACUCUGAUGCAGCGACGCCGCGUGAGUGAAGAAGUAAUUCGUUAUGUAAAGCUCUAUCAGCAGGGAAGAUAGUGACGGUACCUGACUAAGAAGCUCCGGCUAAAUACGUG
rnacentral:rRNA from 1 species